GAUGAACGCUAGCGGCAGGCUUAACACAUGCAAGUCGAGGGGUAGAAGGAGCUUGCUCCUUUGAGACCGGCGCACGGGUGCGUAACGCGUAUGCAACCUACCUUGAACAGGGGGAUAGCCCGGAGAAAUCCGGAUUAAUACCCCAUGGUAUCUUUGAGUGGCAUCACUUGAUUAUUAAAGUAACAACGGUUCAAGAUGGGCAUGCGUCCCAUUAGCUGGUUGGUGUGGUAACGGCACACCAAGGCGACGAUGGGUAGGGGUCCUGAGAGGGAGAUCCCCCACACUGGUACUGAGACACGGACCAGACUCCUACGGGAGGCAGCAGUGAGGAAUAUUGGUCAAUGGGCGCAAGCCUGAACCAGCCAUGCCGCGUGCAGGAUGACGGCCCUAUGGGUUGUAAACUGCUUUUGUACGGGAAGAAACCCCUUUACGUGUAAAGGUUUGACGGUACCGUAAGAAUAAGGAUCGGCUAACUCCGUGCCAGCAGCCGCGGUAAUACGGAGGAUCCAAGCGUUAUCCGGAAUCAUUGGGUUUAAAGGGUCCGUAGGCGGCCCUGUAAGUCAGUGGUGAAAUCUCCCCGCUCAACGGGGAAACUGCCAUUGAUACUGCAGGGCUUGAAUUAUUGGGAAGUAAUUAGAAUAUGUAGUGUAGCGGUGAAAUGCUUAGAUAUUACAUGGAAUACCGAUUGCGAAGGCAGGUUACUACCAAUUGAUUGACGCUGAUGGACGAAAGCGUGGGGAGCGAACAGGAUUAGAUACCCUGGUAGUCCACGCCGUAAACGAUGGAUACUAGCUGUUCGGAAGCAAUUCUGAGUGGCUAAGCGAAAGUGAUAAGUAUCCCACCUGGGGAGUACGAACGCAAGUUUGAAACUCAAAGGAAUUGACGGGGGCCCGCACAAGCGGUGGAGCAUGUGGUUUAAUUCGAUGAUACGCGAGGAACCUUACCAAGGCUUAAAUGGGGGACGACAGCAGUGGAAACAUUGCUUUCUUCGGACGUCCUUCAAGGUGCUGCAUGGUUGUCGUCAGCUCGUGCCGUGAGGUGUCAGGUUAAGUCCUAUAACGAGCGCAACCCCUGUCGUUAGUUGCCAGCGAGUCAUGUCGGGAACUCUAACGAGACUGCCAGUGCAAACUGUGAGGAAGGUGGGGAUGACGUCAAAUCAUCACGGCCCUUACGCCUUGGGCUACACACGUGCUACAAUGGACGGUACAGAGAGCAGCCACUGGGUGACCAGGAGCGAAUCUAUAAAACCGUUCUCAGUUCGGAUCGGAGUCUGCAACCCGACUCCGUGAAGCUGGAAUCGCUAGUAAUCGGAUAUCAGCCAUGAUCCGGUGAAUACGUUCCCGGGCCU
rnacentral:rRNA from 1 species